AACGAACGCUGGCGGCAGGCCUAACACAUGCAAGUCGAACGCUUCAGCAAUGAAGAGUGGCAGACGGGUGAGUAACGCGUGGGAACCUUCCCAGUGGUACGGAAUAGCCCAGGGAAACUUGGGGUAAUACCGUAUAAGCCCUUCGGGGGAAAGAUUUAUCGCCAUUGGAUGGGCCCGCGUCGGAUUAGCUUGUUGGUGAGGUAAAAGCUCACCAAGGCGACGAUCCGUAGCUGGUCUGAGAGGAUGAUCAGCCACACUGGGACUGAGACACGGCCCAGACUCCUACGGGAGGCAGCAGUGGGGAAUAUUGGACAAUGGGCGCAAGCCUGAUCCAGCCAUGCCGCGUGAGUGACGAAGGCCCUAGGGUUGUAAAGCUCUUUUGGCGGGGACGAUAAUGACGGUACCCGCAGAAUAAGCUCCGGCUAACUUCGUG
rnacentral:rRNA from 1 species